rnacentral:rRNA from 1 species
AAGGUCUCCGUUGGUGAACCAGCGGAGGGAUCAUUACCGAGUUUACAACUCCCAAACCCAAUGUGAACGUUACCAAACUGUUGCCUCGGCGGGGUCACGCCCCGGGUGCGUCGCAGCCCCGGAACCAGGCGCCCGCCGGAGGAACCAACCAAACUCUUUCUGUAGUCCCCUCGCGGACGUAUUUCUUACAGCUCUGAGCAAAAAUUCAAAAUGAAUCAAAACUUUCAACAACGGAUCUCUUGGUUCUGGCAUCGAUGAAGAACGCAGCGAAAUGCGAUAAGUAAUGUGAAUUGCAGAAUUCAGUGAAUCAUCGAAUCUUUGAACGCACAUUGCGCCCGCCAGUAUUCUGGCGGGCAUGCCUGUCCGAGCGUCAUUUCAACCCUCGAACCCCUCCGGGGGAUCGGCGUUGGGGAUCGGGACCCCUCACACGGGUGCCGGCCCCGAAAUACAGUGGCGGUCUCGCCGCAGCCUCUCCUGCGCAGUAGUUUGCACAACUCGCACCGGGAGCGCGGCGCGUCCACGUCCGUAAAACACCCAACUUUCUGAAAUGUUGACCUCGGAUCAGGUAGGAAUACCCGCUGAACUUAAGCAUAUCA